AAGAGGCAAGGAGAUGGGGUACUUCUUAUUCUUGUUGGCCAGAGGUCCAGAGUGUCAAUAAGACACAACCGCAGUCAUAAAUGGGUCCACAGUCGGCUGCCAGUAAACAAGGCAGUAGGAAGCUCAGCCAUGGAUAGUGGGGACUGCUGUGUUGUUCAGUCUUUGAAAAGGUGUUUCAAGCAGGCUGAUCACUGCAGGCAAUAUAACAAGACCCCUGGCUCAGAAAGCUAGGGUAGAGUGAAGUCUUAUUCAAACUUGAAACAUACAGCCUGUCUGCGGAUCCUGAUUCAGGACAGCUGCUGCCCGAUGGGAAAAGAAGGACGAUGCUUGCGUUCCUGAUGAGCGUGCCACAAGGACUGGUCAUUUAUUUCCGGCUAGUA